CAAACCAAAAAGAAUGGUUUCGCUCUGCACAUUUUUCAUAUUCCCUCCUCACCCAUUUUUCAGAUUCAUUCCCUCCUCAUCCAAUUUUCAGAUUCCCUCCUCACCCAUAUUGAACUCCCUCUUAGCUUGCUUAUUACAACAGAACAAAAAAACAAAUUGGUUUCCUCUCCUUUAACCCAAGCCCACUCAGAUCUCGCCUCCUAAUCUCGCAGCUAUGUCUAAAGCUCGCGUCUCCGUCGACAUCAACGUCCUCCACCGCAAGGAUUUUCGGGACUACGAGUCCUUCAUCGUCCGGGGGUAAGUAAACCGUAAUUCUCUAAACCCUAAUCUAAUCUGAUUCCUUGAUUUUUUCAAUCUGAUUUUGGUUGUUAGUGGUUUUGGUUUUCUAAUCAAGGGAUAAGGGUGAGUUGUUGUCAACUGGGGAUGAAGGGGAUUAGACGAGAAAGGAAAAAAGAAGAAGAAGAAGGAACAAGGACAACGAACAGAGGAGGAGAAAGGGAGAGAAGAAAAGAAAAGAAGAAGAUGGGAAGGGAGAAAGAGGUAGAGAUUUUGGGCUCGAUGAUGAGUCGGUCUUAUGGAGAGUUUCUGUUCUAAAAUAGGAUUUUGGUCUAGGAGUUUCGGGUACUGCAACUAGGAAGAUGUGAGAAUUUGAUCUCAUGAUCAUGGAAUUUCACCAUCGAAAUUCCGGAUGUUGAAGAAUUGAAAGAAGUUGGGCAGAACUUCUAGAGCCUUGUUUUCAUUCUAGUUCUGGUCCCAUUUAGGAUUUGAGAUUGAAACUUUCACAUAAGGGUUUCUGUACUAGUUCAGCUGCUAAAGUCUCCAGCUCCAAUGGUGCUCAACCAAGCAAUGGCACAGAUUUUUGGAUGGCCACAGAAGAAUUUAGUUGCUUCGAUUCCUCUAAGAAAGGAUGAUGAUGUAGAAAGCCAGAUUGGAGAAGGGUGUCUUAAUGUGAAGGUCAUAUGAAUGGUUCACCACACCCGAGGAGAGUUGAUAUGAUCUCCAACCUAUUGCAGCUAUGUGUAACUAUUGUUGGCUUUGAAAACAAAUGUUCAGCCUCGUUAUGAUGGAAAUGAGGAAAGACAAUGACUAGACACGACAGU